UACAGAGGGUGCGAGCGUUGUCCGGAAUUAUUGGGCGUAAAGGGCUCGUAGGCGGUCUGUUGCGUCGGGAGUGAAAAACUUACAGCUUAACUGUGAGCGUGCUUUCGAUACGGGCAGACUGGAGGUAUGCAGGGGAGAACGGAAUUCCUGGUGUAGCGGUGAAAUGCGCAGAUAUCAGGAGGAACACCGGUGGCGAAGGCGGUUCUCUGGGCAUGUCCUGACGCUGAGGAGCGAAAGUGUGGGGAGCGAACAGG
rnacentral:rRNA from 1 species